rnacentral:rRNA from 1 species
CGUUACACACCGCCCGUCACCACCAUGGGAGUUCGAUUGCACCAGAACGUAGGUAGCCUAACCGCAACGGGGGCGCUUACCACGGUGUGGUCAAUCGACUGGGGUG